ensembl:snRNA U6 U6 spliceosomal RNA
GUGCUUGCUUCGGCAACACAUAUACUCAAACCGGAAUGAUACAGAGAACAUUAGCAUGACCACUGGCACAAGGGUGACAUGCAAAUUAAUGAAGCAGUCCAUAUUUUU